GGGGAUGAAAGGUAUCGACGGAAGAAGUUAGCCCCGGAUUGCGAGCCGAGAGGCGCCGUUCUCGUAAAAUCAGCGCAAAACUUUAAGUGCCAACCGCACUGACUAUGCUGCUCUUCCCCUCGCUGCAUAAGCCAGGGUAAGACAGACGAUUGCCCUCAGAAGCAAUCUCGUUCACCUCUUUCAAUCUCCUGCUGGGAGAGAAUGAACGUCAGAAAGCAGGAGUGCAUCCGGAUGACGCCGCUGCUCCGGUUCAAGUGGGGCUUUCGGGUCCCAGCGGCUAAUCAGAUGAAACUCUGGGCAGUUGUAGUCCAUCUGAUAAAAAUGAACAACUGCCUACGCUCGUAGAAGUCCGAGCGGUUGAUUCUUUCGGACGCGGGUUCGAUUCCCGCCAUCUCCACCU
rnacentral:tmRNA from 1 species